UACGUAGGGUGCGAGCGUUGUCCGGAAUUAUUGGCGUAAAGAGCUUGUAGGCGGUUUGUCGCGUCUGCUGUGAAAUUUCGGGGCUCAACCCCGAACUUGCAGUGGGUACGGGCAGACUAGAGUGCGGUAGGGGAGAUUGGAAUUCCUGGUGUAGCGGUGGAAUGCGCAGAUAUCAGGAGGAACACCGGUGGCGAAGGCGGGUCUCUGGGCCGAUACUGACGUGAGGAGCGAAAGCGUGGGGAGCGAACAGG
rnacentral:rRNA from 1 species